UACGGAGGGGGCUAGCGUUGUUCGGAAUUCCUGGGCGUAAAGCGCACGUAGGCGGCUUUGCAAGUCAGAGGUGAAAGCCCGGGGCUCAACCCCGGAAUUGCCUUUGAGACUGCAUCGCUAGAAUUGUGGAGAGGUAAGUGGAAUUCCGAGUGUAGAGGUGAAAUUCGUAGAUAUUCGGAAGAACACCAGUGGCGAAGGCGACUUACUGGACACAUAUUGACGCUGAGGUGCGAAAGCGUAGGGAGCAAACAGG
rnacentral:rRNA from 1 species